rnacentral:ncRNA from 1 species
GGUCAAGCAAGAAAGAGCACGAGGUGAAUGCCUUGGCACUGGGAGCCGAUGAAGGACGUGAUAAGCUGCGAAAAGCUUCGGGGAGGCGCACAUAGCCAAUGAGCCGGAGAUAUCCGAAUGGGGGAACCUGCCU